UAAACGAAGUGAAUUGAAAUAUCUUAGUAACUUCAGGAAAAUAAAUCAAAAGAGAUUCUAUGAAUAACGUGAGUGAAAGUAGAGUAGCCUAUAAAGUAGAACGGUACAAAAACUGUUUGAAUAAAAUGGGGAACCUUCCUCAAAGGCUAAAUAUGAUACAUGAGCGAUAGUGAAAAGUACCAUGAGGGAACUAAACGAAAAUAGUAGUUUUAUAAGCAGUUCGAUAAAAAGAACGUACCUUUUGCAUAAUGGGUCACCAAGUUAACGUUAGAUGCGAGUAUAUGCGUAGUUAAACCGGACGUUAAAAUAACGAAACAGUGUCUAAAGUUAGACCCGAAGCACGGUGAUUUUACCAUAGUCAGGAUUAUAAAAGUCCGAACGGGUGAUUGUAGCAUAAAUCUCCGAAGAACUGUGGUAGGUGUAGUGAAAGACAACACUGACUGUGAUAGCUGGUUUUCUGCGAAACCUAUAAUAGUAGGCAAUUUAAGUAAAUAUCUUAGCAGGUACAUAAUUUAAUCUCAGACAAGAUGUGUAAACGUUUUAUUUUGUACAAAUUGGGGGAUCAUGAAGAUUUUAUCAGUGAGUAUGUAGACUCGAAAUGGCAAAGAUAUAUCUUGAAUUAUCAGACAUAGAAUGAUAAGGUUGUAUGUCAAAAGGGAAACAGCCCAGAACAAGAGUUAAGGUUCCUAAAUUAUUAGUUGAGUGAAAUUAAGAAGGUUUUUAUUAAAGUCGACAAGGAGAUAGGCUUAGAAGCAGCCAUAAUUUUAUGACCUCGUAACAGAGCGCUUGUUAAGCUAUAGAAGCAUCGAAAAUUUAACGGAUCUAAACAAUAUACCGAAACCUUGUGCAUGAACGUUUCAUAGGAGAUUACUUACAUAAACACAAUUACAAUCAGAGGGUGAGUUGUGUUAAAGACACUACGACAAUCAUAGUUGUGUAAAUAAAGAUUUUAUGUAAUUAGUUCUAUUAAAAUCAUUUAAUGAAAAAGUUCUAUUAAUAACAUCUAAUACUAGUAUUAAUACUCAACAGUUAUAGUAUUAAUUUUCAACACAGUUAUAAUUGUAUUAAUUCUUGAGUUAUAAUAUUAUUAAUGCUUUUCUAAUAAUAAUUAUGCUCUUCUAAUAGUAUUAAUACUGAACAGUUAUAAUAGUAUUGAUGCUCAACAGUUCUAGUAUUAAUAUUUAAUAGAAUUAGUUCUAUUAACAAUAUUUAAUACAGGCGCAAGCUCAGUUUAAAUAUCGUUAAAUGUAUUUACAAUAUAAUAUGUCUAAUUUAAAUGUAUUAGAAUAUACUUAAAUGUUAGUAGAUAGGGCGUUUGGGGUAGCAGAACGUUGAGUAAAUAAUGAAUUUUAUUUUUUUUAAUAGAAUUAUAAUAAUUUAACUCAAGUGAGAAUGGUGACAUGAGUAACUAAAAGAAAAUUUUCCGCCUUAAGCUUAUGGAUAUAAUUAAGUAACGGCCUCUAAGUUUAUAUUAUCUAAAGAUUUAAACGAUGAGAAAAUCUUUUUUACUAAGGACAACAUUUUAGUGUAAAAUGUGCUGGAAAAAUAGUAAAUAUAUUUGCGGGGCUCCGCCCACUAAUAACAAAAUAUAUUUGUUAUCUAAGAAUAAAUGAAUAAAACCGUACCUAGAAUCUGAAAAAAGUAAGCUAGUAGAGAAUACGAAGGCGUAAAUGAGCUAACAAUCAUAAAGGAACUCGGCAAAUUGACUACCGUAACUUCGGAAUAAGGAGGGCUCAAUUCUUGAUUAAUAUCAAGUAAAAAGGAAGAAGCAUAAAAUGAUGUUGUACGACUGUUUAAUUAAAACACAGCACUUUGCUGAAAGAUAAAAAAUCUAAGUAUAAAGUGUGAAAUCUGCCCGGUGCCGGCUUUGGUUAACAGAGAUAAUUAAAUAUACUAUUAUUUGAUGUCGACGGAAACCCCGGUUAAAGGCGGCCUUAACGUGAGGGUCCUAAGGUAGCGAAAUGCCUUGGCCGUUAAAUGCGGUCUUGCAUGAAUGGUGUAACGAUACAACAGCUGUCUCUAUGAUUGACUCAGUGAAAUUGGAAUAGCUGUGCAGAUACAGCUUACCUCUAGUUAGACGAGAAGACCCUAUGCAGCUUUACUGUCACUAAUUAUAGAGUAUGUUAGAGAAUUUUCAGAUUAUAAGGUAAUUGACAAUGUGACAAUGAGAAUCCUUUAUUUAUCUUUCAUAUGAAUGAAUUGGUUUAGGAUUAUAAAAAAGUUAUGUUUAAUCUGGCUUUACUGAGUCGUUUAAAAAGAUUAAUUAUAGAAACAAUAUAAUUUAUAAUAGUAAAUCAACCUAAUUCAGUUUACUAUUUUUAAUAGUAAGUGACCUUUGGUAAGGAACUAUCGCUAGGAGACAGUUUAUGUGGGGCACAGACCCUGUAAAGAGUAAACAGGAGUGUCUAAUAAUUUAUAAUUAUUUUGUUUGCUAUUUUGAGUAGUUUAACUAUUUUUAAUCAUAUAUAAUUAUUUAUAUUUGCGUAUAUUUACGUAAAUAUACUUAAGUUUAAUUUAGGUAGGAUUUUAACUAUGUAGAAAUUAGAGAUAAUUGAAAAUAUUAUGUAAAUUUUAUUAAUAUUAUGUAAUUAUAAGAAGCUUUUAGAUGGAAUUUAGUGGCUUAAAAAAUAUAUUUUUUUUUUUAGCUCACGAUAUAAGAUAUAAAAAUUUUUAUUGUAAUCUAAAAUCUACUCUAGCGCAAACUCUUGUGAAGAUUUAUAUUGUAAUAUAAAAUCUAUUCAGGCGCCAGGCGCAAGCUCUUAUGGAAUUUUGCUAAUAUUCUUCAAAUUUUCUAAUAUUUUAGAGCUGUUUUUUUUUAUCUUGCUGUUGCUUUGCGCUUCGCUAUUUUUUGCGCUGCGCGAAAAUGCUGCUUGAGAAAAAGGAAUAGUUAUGUUUUGAAUAUCUAAAAAGCUCAACGGCUAAAUCUUGCCUUACUGUUUGAUUAUCUACAAAUCUUACAGUUGCGUAAGCAGGGCAUAGGAUCACAAGAUGCAAUAAGGAUAGAUCUUGGAUUAUUGGAAAAGCUACGCUAGGGAUGAACAGGCUAAUUUGCGCAAGAGUGUACAAAAUGAGUGCGCGGUUUGGCACCUCGAUGUCGGCUUAACUUAUCCUCAUGGACGCAGGAACUAUGUAGGGUGCGACUGUUCGUCGAUUAAAAAGUUACAUGAGCUGGGUUAAAUACGUCGUGAGACAGUAUGGUUUCUAUCUUCUAGAGGGAAUUAGAAUAAAAUAAGAACAAACUUUUGUACGCAAGGAACAAGAAGAAUUUAACUCAAAAAGUUAAAAGAUGGUUACUAACCUAUGGUUUACCUGUUGUUUAUGUGCCUAAAUAUUAAAUAUAUAUAUGCUUUUGUAUAUAUAUAUCUUUUGUAUUAUUAUACAUAGGGAUGUUUCUUUUACUAAGACAAAUGUAUAGCAUAAGCACGGCAGGAACGCUAAGUUAGUUAAAGAUAAGUGCUGAAAGCAUAUAGGCACGAAACUUAUCUUAAGAUAUUUCUUAAAUAUACGUAACAUACUAUUACG
rnacentral:rRNA from 1 species